rnacentral:misc_RNA from 1 species
CGCACAUUGCGCCCCUCGGUAUUCCGGGGGGCAUGCCUGUCCGAGCGUUAUUGCAACCCUCAAGCGUAGCUUGGUAUUGGGCCUCGCUCCUCUCGAAAGGGGGCGUGCCUGAAACGUAGUGGCGGUCCGGCGUGGUUUUGGACGUAGUAAAGAACUCCCGUCCUGAAAACGUCACGUUGUGGCCCGCCAUAAAACCCCUUCUCUCAAAGGUUGACCUCGGAUCAGGUAGGGAUACCCGCUGAACUUAA